rnacentral:rRNA from 1 species
GACGAACGCUGGCGGCGUGCUUAACACAUGCAAGUCGAACGGAAAGGCCCUGCUUUUGUGGGGUGCUCGAGUGGCGAACGGGUGAGUAACACGUGAGUAACCUGCCCUUGACUGUGGGAUAACUUCAGGAAACUGGGGCUAAUACCGGAUAGGAGCUCCUGCUGCAUGGUGGGGGUUGGAAAGUUUCGGCGGUUGGGGAUGGACUCGCGGCUUAUCAGCUUGUUGGUGGGGUAGUGGCUUACCAAGGCUUUGACGGGUAGCCGGCCUGAGGGGGUGACCGGCCACAUUGGGGCUGCGAUACGGCCCAGACUCCUACGGGGGGCAGCAGUGGGGAAUAUUGCACAAUGGGCGGAAGCCUGAUGCAGCAACGCCGCGUGCGGGAUGACGGCCUUCGGGUUGUAAACCGCUUUCGCCUGUGACGAAGCGUGAGUGACGGUAAUGGGUAAAGAAGCACCGGCUAACUACGUG